UACAGAGGUGGCAAGCGUUGUUCGGAAUUACUGGGCGUAAAGGGCGCGUAGGCGGUUCGUUAAGUCCUGUGUGAAAUCCCCCGGCUCAACUGGGGAACUGCACAGGAAACUAGCGGGCUUGAGUUCGGGAGAGGGAAGCGGAAUUCCGGGUGUAGCGGUGAAAUGCGUAGAUAUCCGGAGGAACACCGGUGGCGAAGGCGGCGACCUGGUCCUAUACUGACACUCAUACACGAAAGCGUGGGGAUCAAACAGG
rnacentral:rRNA from 1 species